CAGCAGGCUUGUUCUCUCGUUUUUGAUUUCCGGCUAGACGAAGAAACCCCUAAUGAAACUAAAGGAUCCUGAAAUUGACUUCUACUUCUGAUUCGAUUCUUCAAUCUUCAGAGCUGAGAAGCAGUUUUGUUUGUGUUAAAUUUGAUGAAAUUGGAGCACGAUGGCAACCUAUUCAGGAAAAGGAGCCCCUUCAAAUGGGUCUGUCUAUGUUUGUAACUUGCCUCAGGGCACUGACGAAAAUAUGUUGGCUGAAUAUUUUGGCACCAUUGGGUUGCUAAAGAAAGACAAGCGAACCGGUCGGCCUAGGAUAUGGUUUUAUCGGGACAAGAUAACAAAUGAGCCAAAGGGGGAUGCUACAGUUACAUAUGAGGAUCCACAUGCUGCUUUAGCUGCUGUUGAAUGGUUCAACAAUAAGGAUUUUCAUGGUAAUAUAAUUGGAGUAUUUAUGGCAGAGUCCAAAAGCAAAGAUGA
rnacentral:misc_RNA from 1 species